rnacentral:rRNA from 1 species
GUCCUCUUGAUGAUAUUUUGAGGUCUGGCCUGCUCACUGACAAGGUUUUGAAGAGCCGCGGUAUUUUGACCGUGCAAAGGUAGCAUAAUCAUUAGUCUCUUAAUUAGGGGCUGGAAUGAAUGGCUUGACGAGAAAUCAACUGUCUCUUAAUAAUUUUUAGAAUUUAACUUUUGAGUCAAAAGGCUUAAAUUUUUCUUUAGGACGAGAAGACCCUAUAGAGCUUAACAUUUUAUUUUUAUAUAGUUUUUAGUUGAUCUUUCUAUAUUUAAUGAUAAUGUUUUGUUGGGGUGACAUGAAGAAUAAUUAAACUCUUCAUUAUAAAAUCAUUGAUUUAUGUUUAUCAUGAUCCAUAAUUUAUGAUCAUAAGAUUAAGUUACCUUAGGGAUAACAGCGUAAUUGUUUUCGAGAGCUCAUAUCGACAAAGCAGAUUGCGACCUCGAUGUUGGAUUAAGAAAAAUUUUGGGUGCAGGAGCCCAAUAAUUAGGUCUGUUCGACCUUUAAAUUCUUACA